UACGUAGGGCGCAAGCGUUGUCCGGAAUUAUUGGGCGUAAAGAGCUCGUAGGCGGCUUGUCACGUCGGAUGUGAAAGCCCGGGGCUUAACUCCGGGUCUGCAUUCGAUACGGGCUAGCUAGAGUGUGGUAGGGGAGAUCGGAAUUCCUGGUGUAGCGGUGAAAUGCGCAGAUAUCAGGAGGAACACCGGUGGCGAAGGCGGAUCUCUGGGCCAUUACUGACGCUGAGGAGCGAAAGCGUGGGGAACGAACAGG
rnacentral:rRNA from 1 species